CUUCCCUCUAUCUUAUCUUCCCUUCCCUCUAUCUUCUCUGUAUCUUCCCUCUAUCUCUAUCUUCCCUCUAUCUCUAUCUUCCCUCUAUCUUAUCUUCCCUUCCCUCUAUCUUCCCUCUAUCUUCUCUGUAUCUUCCCUCUAUCUUCUCUGUAUCUUAUCUCUAUCUUCCCUCUACCUUCUCUCUCAUGCAGUCCAAAUCAUUUAGCGGUGCAUUCUUAGACACAAAGGCACACUGAUGUCAGGUUAAUGCUGCGUCCCAAAUGGAACCCCAUUCCCUUAUAUAGAGCCUUAUGGGCCCUGGUCUAAAGUAGUACACUAUAUAGAGCCCAAUGGGCCCUGGCCUAAAGCAGUACACUAUAUAGAGCCUUAUGGGCCCUGGUCUAAAGUAGUAUACUAUAUAGAGCCCAAUGGGCCCUGGUCUAAAGUAGUACACUAUAUAGAGCCUUAUGGGCCCUGGUCUAAAGUAGUACACUAUAUAGAGCCUUAUGGGCCCUGGUCUAAAGGAGUACACUAUAUAGAGCCUUAUGGGCCCUGGUCUAAAGGAGUACACUAUAUAGAGCCCAAUGGGCCCUGGUCUAAAGGAGUACACUAUAUAGAGCCUUAUGGGCCCUGGUCUAAAGGAGUACACUAUAUAGAGCCCAAUGGGCCCUGGUCUAAAGUAGUACACUAUAUAGAGCCCAAUGGGCCCUGGUCUAAAGGAGUACACUAUAUAGAGCCCAAUGGGCCCUGGUCUAAAUAGUACACUAUAUAGGGAAUAGGGUGCAAGUAGUACACUAUAUAGGGAAUAGGGUUCCAUUUGGUGCCUCAGGUCAUUGAUGGGACAGUCAGCUGGUCUAUUCAGCUAGUAAUAAUUAUAGUGUGUGUGUCUGUGUGUGUGUGUGUGUGUGUGUGUGUGUGUGUGUGUGUGUGUGUGUGUGUGUGUGUGUGUGUGUGUGUGUUGUGAACGCUGGUCAUCCAAGGCUUCGGUCAGAACAAAGUUCUGCAUGAUGAUGUCAUUACGUGGGUACUGAUAGCAAAGACUGUCUGUCUGUCUGACUGUCUGUCUGUCUGUUAUUACGUGGGUACUGAUAGCAAAGACUGUCUGUCUGUCUGACUGUCUGUUAUUACGUGGGUACUGAUAGCAAAGACUCAAAGACUGUCUGUCUGUCUGUCUGUCAUUACGUGGGUACUGAUAGCAAAGACUGUCUGUCUGUAUGUCUGACUGUGUGACUGUCUGUCUGACUGUCUGUCUGUCUGUCAUUACGUGGGUACUGAUAGCAAAGACUGUCUGUCUGUCUGUCUGACUGUGUGACUGUCUGUCUGACUGUCUGUCUGUCAUUACGUGGGUACUGAUAGCAAAGACUGUCUGUCUGUCUGUCUGACUGUCUGUCUGUCAUUAUGUGGGUACUGAUAGCAAAGACUGUCUGGCUGUCUGUCUGACUGUGUGACUGUCUGUCUGACUGUCUGUCUGACUGUCUGUCUGUCAUUACGUGGGUACUGAUAGCAAAGUACUUUGCAGUAACUGAGAACUAGUUGGCACGUGAACAGAACAGAGAGAUAGCACACAGUCACAGCUGUACUACCCCUGCAACAACAGAGAGAUAGCACACAGUCACAGCUGUACUACCCCUGCAACCACAGA
ensembl:lncRNA